rnacentral:rRNA from 1 species
UACGUAGGGUGCGAGCGUUAAUCGGAAUUACUGGGCGUAAAGCGUGCGCAGGCGGUUCGUUGUGUCGGCGGUGAAAGCCCCGGGCUUAACCUGGGAAUGGCCGUCGAAACUGGCGAACUGGAGUGUGGCAGAGGGGGGUGGAAUUCCGCGUGUAGCAGUGAAAUGCGUAGAGAUGCGGAGGAACACCGAUGGCGAAGGCAGCCCCCUGGGAUAACACUGACGCUCAGGCACGAAAGCGUGGGGAGCAAACAGG